rnacentral:rRNA from 1 species
AUUGAACGCUGGCGGCAGGCCUAACACAUGCAAGUCGAACGAGCGGCGGACGGGUGAGUAAUGUAUGGGGAUCUGCCCGAUAGAGGGGGAUAACUACUGGAAACGUUGGCUAAUACCGCAUACUAUCGGAUGUACCCAUAUGGGAUUAGCUAGUAGGUGGGGUAAAGGCUCACCUAGGCGACGAUCUCUAGCCGGUCCGAGCGGAUGAUCAGCCAAACUGGGAGUGAGACACGGCCCAGAGUCCUACGGGAGGCAGAAGUGGGGAAUAUUGCACAAUGGGCGCAAGCCUGAUGCAGCCAUGCCGCGGGUAUAAAGAAGGCCUUAGGGUUGUAAAGUACUUUCAGCGAGGAGGCGGUAACCGCAGAAGAAGCACCGGCUAACUCCGUGCCAGCAGCCGCGGUAAUAC